rnacentral:rRNA from 1 species
AUUGAACGCUGGCGGCGUGCCUAACACAUGCAAGUCGAGCGGUAACAGGUGUAGCAAUACACGCUGACGAGCGGCGGACGGGUGAGUAACGCUUGGGAAUCUGCCUGUUAGUGGGGGACAACCCGGGGAAACUCGGGCUAAUACCGCAUACGCACUACGGUGGAAAGCCGGGGACCGCAAGGCCUGGCGCUAACAGAUGAGCCCAAGUCGGAUUAGCUAGUUGGUAGGGUAACGGCCUACCAAGGCGACGAUCCGUAACUGGUCUGAGAGGACGACCAGUCACACCGGAACUGAGACACGGUCCGGACUCCUACGGGAGGCAGCAGUGGGGAAUAUUGGACAAUGGGCGAAAGCCUGAUCCAGCGACGCCGCGUGGGUGAAGAAGGCCUGCGGGUUGUAAACCUCUUUUCUCAGGGAAGAUACAAGACGGUACCUGAGGAAUAAGCCACGGCUAACUACGUGCCAGCAGCCG